UGAGGUGCUUGCACCUUAUCUUAGCGGCGGACGGGUGAGUAAUGCUUAGGAAUCUGCCUAUUAGUGGGGGACAACAUUCCGAAAGGAAUGCUAAUACCGCAUACGCCCUACGGGGGAAAGCAGGGGAUCUUCGGACCUUGCGCUAAUAGAUGAGCCUAAGUCGGAUUAGCUAGUUGGUGGGGUAAAGGCCUACCAAGGCGACGAUCUGUAGCGGGUCUGAGAGGAUGAUCCGCCACACUGGGACUGAGACACGGCCCAGACUCCUACGGGAGGCAGCAGUGGGGAAUAUUGGACAAUGGGCGGAAGCCUGAUCCAGCCAUGCCGCGUGUGUGAAGAAGGCCUUUUGGUUGUAAAGCACUUUAAGCGAGGAGGAGGCUACUUAGAUUAAUACUCUAGGAUAGUGGACGUUACUCGCAGAAUAAGCACCGGCUAACUCUGUGCCAGCAGCCGCGGUAAUACAGAGGGUGCGAGCGUUAAUCGGAUUUACUGGGCGUAAAGCGUGCGUAGGCGGCUGAUUAAGUCGGAUGUGAAAUCCCUGAGCUUAACUUAGGAAUUGCAUUCGAUACUGGUCAGCUAGAGUAUGGGAGAGGAUGGUAGAAUUCCAGGUGUAGCGGUGAAAUGCGUAGAGAUCUGGAGGAAUACCGAUGGCGAAGGCAGCCAUCUGGCCUAAUACUGACGCUGAGGUACGAAAGCAUGGGGAGCAAACAGGAUUAGAUACCCUGGUAGUCCAUGCCGUAAACGAUGUCUACUAGCCGUUGGGGCCUUUGAGGCUUUAGUGGCGCAGCUAACGCGAUAAGUAGACCGCCUGGGGAGUACGGUCGCAAGACUAAAACUCAAAUGAAUUGACGGGGGCCCGCACAAGCG
rnacentral:rRNA from 1 species